rnacentral:rRNA from 1 species
AUACGGAGGGUGCGAGCGUUAAUCGGAAUUACUGGGCGUAAAGCGCGCGUAGGCGGAUAAUUAAGUCAGAUGUGAAAUCCCCGGGCUCAACCUGGGAACUGCAUUUGAUACUGAUUAACUAGAGUAUGGUAGAGGUGAGUGGAAUUUCCGGUGUAGCGGUGAAAUGCGUAGAGAUCGGAAGGAACACCAGUGGCGAAGGCGACUCACUGGGCCAUUACUGACGCUGAGGUGCGAAAGCGUGAGUAGCAAACAGGAUUAGAAACCCUAGUAGUCC